rnacentral:lncRNA from 1 species
CAAAAAUAAAUGCCUCCCCACCUCAAAUUAUCAUGUGAAGUUGGAGAGUCCUUCAUGAAGGCUCUUAACUAUAUACGUUGCCUUAAAUGAUAAACCAGAAGUCCUUUGAUUUGUUGCCAAAUUUAAGUGAGAUUUUUAUGGAAUGUAGAAGAAGGAGAGUCCUUUUGUGAGAAGUCUCUCAUGCACCAAAAAUUCCACAC